ensembl:lncRNA
GGGAGAAUGACCUCUGCACAUUGACUGAGACGGACAUCACCACUGCAGAGGACGUGGUUAGAUGCCUCGGACCCAUGAAGACCGCCACCCUAGCCAUCUCUGAGGAGGAGUCCCCUACCAUGUCAAUGGUUGCCCCGCUGCAAUUUCAACUGCUUAAUCAGAUGGCAUGCACUGCCGAAGACACGUCCAUCAUUAAGGAGCUCAAAACUGCUGUCCACCAGAACUUGAGUUCACGAUAUGAAGGCCUGAAGGAGACCUUGUGUGUAGCAUCAUCCUUGGAUCCACGGUUCAAGACCCUACCGUUCCUGUCUGAUGAGGCACGUGAUGCUGUCUUCUUGAAAUAGACCUCUGAAGCUGCUCAUCCAAACCCAUCAACCGAUAACACUACACCAGAGCAAGAGAACACCCAUGGUUCAAUGGAUGUGGCUGCACCUGCACCUGCACCUGCACCAACUCAACCAAAGAGGCCCAAAGACUCUGCUCUGAUGGCUUUACUGGGGUCGGCGUACACACCACCAACUCCACUACAGAAGAAAACAACAACUGAAAGGGCAGAGGAAGAGAUCGCCACCUACAGGAAAGUGCCAGCUAUUCGUCUUUCACAAAAUCCACUGACAUGGUGGCAGGUGCAUGCAGAGGAUUUCCCUCUUUUGGCAGGCCUUGCAAGGCAAUAUCUUUGCAUACCUGGGACCAGUGUCCCAUCUGAACGAGUUUUCUCAACAGCUGGAGACAUUGUUAGUGCUCAAAGGAGCUGCCUCACUCCACAGCAUGUUGACCAGCUCCUCUUUCUCCAGAAAAAUUACACAAUUCCUGAAGACUAGGACUCUUCUCAGUCACUCUUAGACUCUUCCCUGUCUAUUGUUUUACUCCUGCCAUGGGUAGGCCUAUGUUAUUACCAUCUAGCAGACUUUUACAUACAUUCAGCCCAAGGCAGGUCUCUCUCUCUCUCUCUCUCUCUCUCUCUCUCUCUCUCUCUCUCUCUCUCUCUCUCUCUCUCUCUCUCU